AACCAUAGAAACCUGCGGAGUACCUGCGGAAGGAUCAUUACAGAGUUAUCCAACUCCCAAACCCAUGUGAACUUAUCUCUUUGUUGCCUCGGCGCAAGCUACCCGGGACCCAGCGCCCCGGGCGGCCCGCCGGCGGACAAACCAAAACUCUUGUUAUCUUAGUUGAUUAUCUGAGCGUCUUAUUUAAUAAGUCAAAACUUUUAACAAUGGAUCU
rnacentral:misc_RNA from 1 species